CCUACGGGAGGCAGCAGUGAGGAAUAUUGCUCAAUGGGGGAAACCCUGAAGCAGCAACGCCGCGUGGAGGAUGAAGGUUUUCGGAUGGUAAACUCCUUUUGUUAGAGAAGAUAAUGACGGUAUCUAACGAAUAAGCACCUGCUAACUGCGUGCCAGCAGCCGAGGUAAGACGGAGGGGGCAAGCGUUACCGGGAAUCACUGGGCGUAAAGAGCGCGUAGGCGGGAUAGCAAGUCAGAUGUAAAAUCCUAUGGCUUAACCAUAGAACUGCAUUUGAAACUGUUAUUCUAGAGUAUGGGAGAGGUAGGAGGAAUUCUUGGUGUAGGGGUGAAAUCCGUAGAGAUCAAGAGGAAUACUCAUUGCGAAGGCGACCUGCUAGAACGUAACUGACGCUGAUGCGCGAAAGCGUGGGGAGCAAACAGGAUUAGAUACCCUAGUAGUC
rnacentral:rRNA from 1 species